GACCAGCACAGACUGGCGUCUCUGGGCCAGUAUCUCUUUGAGCACCUCACUCUCAGGCACAACUAGGCCU
rnacentral:pre_miRNA from 1 species